AAGGAAGAAGAGGUGAAAUUCGUGAGCAUAAUGGAAAGACAUCUUAAAUACAUUCAAGAUAAGUUAAUAUCCAUCCAAGGGAAGCUGGCAAACGUGGGAAAACAGAUGAAGCAGAAAGAUGGAGCUAUCUUCCUGAAGGAGGAAACCUCUCGGAAAAGCAGCCUCAACGAAACAGGUCAGAAAGUGUCGGUGACUGGAGGCAGC